rnacentral:rRNA from 1 species
AUAAGGGCACACGGUGGAUGCCUUGGCGCCAAACGCCGAUGAAGGACGUGGGACACUGCGAUAAGCCUCGGGUAGCCGUGUACAGGUGUAGAUCCGAGGAUUUCCGAAUAGGGAAACCUGCCGCUGCGAUCCAGCGGCAUCCCGACCUGAACACAUAGGGUCGGUGAAGGGAACCUGGGGAACUGAAACAUCUUAGUACCCAGAGGAAAAGAGAUCAUUCCCCUAGUAGUGGCGAGCGAACGGGGAUCAGCCCAAACCAGUCAGGCUUGCUUGACUGGGGUUGUAGGGCUCGACAUUUGGGAGUUACCAAUCCGGCGGCUAGCAAAAUGGUAUGGAAAAGCCAACCAUAGAGGGUGACAGUCCCGUAUGCGAAAGCUGCUGGACUCCCGUUGAGUUCCUGAGUACCACCGGGCACGCUAAUCCGGUGGGAAGCUGGGGAGUCCACUCUCCAAGGCUAAAUACGUUUGGCGACCGAUAGUGAACAAGUACCGUGAGGGAAAGGUGAAAAGCACCCCGGUGAGGGGAGUGAAAUAGAACCUGAAACCGCGUGCCUACAAGCAGUCGAAGGGCUAAUGGCGGGUCUGUGCGCCGGCGAAAGCCGGCUGUGCGCCGCUAGGCCUGACGGCGUGCCUUUUGGAGAAUGAGCCUGCGAGUUAAUUUCUGUGGCCAGGUUAAGGGAGUAACACCCGUAGCCGUAGCGAAAGCGAGUCUGAAUAGGGCGUCCAGUCGCAGGGAUUAGACACGAAACCGAGUGAGCUACCCAUGGCCAGGGUGAAGCGAGUCUAACCGCUCGUGGAGGCCCGCACCCACUAACGUUGCAAAGUUAGGGGAUGAGCUGUGGGUAGAGGUGAUAUGCCAAUCGAACUCGGAGAUAGCUUGUUCUCCCCGAAAUAGCUUUAGGGCUAGCGUCAUGCGUUCAGUAACGGAGGUAGAGCACUGGAUGGGCUAGGGGGCUUACUGCUUACCGAACCCAACCAAACUCCGAAUGCCGUUACUCCAGAGCAUGGCAGUCGGACUACGGGAGAUGAGUUUCGUAGUCGAGAGGGAAAGAGCCCAGACCAUCGGCUAAGGUCCUCAAGUCUAGACUAAGUGGGAAACGAUGUGAGACUACUGUGACAACCAGGAGGUUGGCUUAGAAGCAGCCACCCUUUAAAGAGUGCGUAACAGCUCACUGGUCAAGUGGUCUUGCGCGGAAAAUGUAACGGGGCUAAGUCUAGCACCGAAGCCAUGGGUCUCUCUUCUGCUUCGGCGGAAGAGGGGCGGUAGGGGAGCGUUCUGUCUGCAGUGAAGGUCGACCGUGAGGACGGCUGGAGCGGGCAGAAGUGAGAAUGCAGGCAUGAGUAGCGUAAAACACGUGAGAACCGUGUUCGCCGUAAGUCUAAGGUUUCCGACGGCAGGUCAAUCCGCGUCGGGUUAGUCGGUCCUUAGCCGAGGCCGUAAGGCGUAGGCGAUGGACAUCCGGUCAACAUUCCGGAACCACCUAGGUUGAGCGAUGGAAGGACGCAGUUUGGUAAGCCAGCCUGCGAUUGGUUGUGCAGGUGUAAGUGUGUAGGCGUUGACGCCGGCAGGUAAAUCCACCGGCUGAGCUGAGGCACGAAUGCGAGCCCCUGAGGCGUAAGUGGCCCAGCCAAGCUGCCUAGAAAAGUUUCUAAGCUAUGACAUCUAGGUGACCGUACCGCAAACCGACACUGGUAGACGGGUAGAGUAUACCAAGGCGAACGGGAGAACCUUCGUUAAGGAACUAGGCAAAUUAGCCCCGUAACUUCGGGAGAAGGGGUGCCCUCAGACGUGAUACCGCUGGCCGGUUUAGCGUCAGAGGGUCGCAGUGAAAUGGCUCUGGUGACUGGUUAACAAAACCACAGGUCUCUGCGAAGCCGUAAGGCGACGUAUAGGGGCUGACGCCUGCCCAGUGCCGGAAGGUUAAGGGGUGGGGUUAUCCUCGCUUCGGCGUGGAAAAGCUCUGAACCGAAGCCCCGGUGAACGGCGGCUGUAACUAUAACAGUCCUAAGGUAGCGAAAUUCCUUGUCGGGUAAGUUCCGACCCGCACGAACGGCGUAACAAUCGGAGCACUGUCUCAACGAAGGACCCGGUGAAAUUGAACUACGCGUGAAGAUGCGCGUUACCCGCAGCAGGACAAAAAGACCCCGUGGAGCUUUACUGCAGCUUGGCAUUGCGUUUGGGCAUGGUUUGUGUAGCAUAGGUGGGAGGCCGUGAAACUGGGGCGUCAGCCUCGGCGGAGCCGCCCGUGAAAUACCACCCUGACCCUGUCUUGACCCUAACCCCAUACCGUUAGCCGGAUGGGGGACCGUGCCUGGUGGGCAGUUUGACUGGGGCGGUCGCCUCCUAAAAGGUAACGGAGGCGCCCAAAGGUUCCCUCAGGCUGAAUGGAAACCAGCCUAAGAGUGUAAAGGCAUAAGGGAGCUUGACUGCAAGACCAACGCGUCGAGCAGAGACGAAAGUCGGGCUUAGUGAUCCCACGGUUCCGUGUGGAAGGGCCGUGGCUUACCGGAUAAAAGCUACCCCGGGGAUAACAGGCUGGUGAAGUCCAAGAGUCCAUAUCGACGACUUCGCUCGGCACCUCGAUGUCGGCUCAUCGCAUCCUGGGGCUGAAUAAGGUCCCAAGGGUCGGGCUGUUCGCCCGUUAAAGCGGUACGCGAGCUGGGUUCAGACCGUCGUGAGACAGGUCGGUCUCUAUCCGCUGUGGGCGCAAGGGACUUGCGGAGAGCUGCCCCUAGUACGAGAGGACCGGGGUGGACAGACCGCUGGUGUGCCAGUUGUCGUGCCAACGGCAUCGCUGGGUAGCUAUGUCUGGCAGAGAUAACCGCUGAAAGCAUCUAAGUGGGAAACUCGCUCCUAGAUCAGGUCCCUCAUCCCUCGCCUCGCGAGGGAGUAAGGCCGCAGGUAGACUACCUGCUUGAUAGGCGGCAGGUGUAAGCGCAGCAAUGUGUUCAGCUAAGCCGUACUAAUGGCCGAGGACUUGCCCCC